rnacentral:tRNA from 1 species
UGUGGCUUAGUGGUAGAGUGCAUGUCUCACAUGCAUGAAGCCCUGAGUUCAAUUCCUCAGUA